UUUAAAUUGCCGCAGUAUUUUGACUGUGCAAAGGUAGCAUAAUAAUUAGUUUCUUGAUUAGAAACUGGAAUGAAUGAUUGGACGAGAAAAUUACUGUCUCUUUUGGAUGGUUUAUUGAAUUUUAUUUUUGAGUUAAAAAGCUCAAAUUUGAAUAAAAGACGAGAAGACCCUAUAGAGUUUAAUAUUUAAUUAUUCAUUAAAUUUUGGGAAGAUUUUUGUGUAUUAAAUAUUUAGUUGGGGUGACUUAGAGAUUAAAAUAAUUCUUUAAAUUUUUAAUUGUUGAUAAGUAAUUUUUAAAUCUAGUUUUUUAAAUUUAAAAUUAAUUACCUUAGGGAUAACAGCGUAAUUUUUCUUUAGAGUUCUAAUCGAAAGAAGAUUUUGCGACCUCGAUGUUGGAUUAAAAUUAAUUUUUGGUGCAGUAACUAAAAAAUUAGGUCUGUUCGACCUUUAAAAUUUUACAUGAUCUGAGUUUAAACCGGUGUGAGCCAGGUUGGAUUCUAUCUUUAGUUUUGUAAUAUAUUUUAGUACGAAAGGACCAAAUAUAUAUUAUAUAAAUAAUUG
rnacentral:rRNA from 1 species